GACGAACGCUGGUGGCGUGCCUAAUACAUGCAAGUAGAACGCACAGUUUAUACCGUAGCUUGCUACACCAUAGACUGUGAGUUGCGAACGGGUGAGUAACGCGUAGGUAACCUGCCUGGUAGCGGGGGAUAACUAUUGGAAACGAUAGCUAAUACCGCAUAAUAUUGAUUAUUGCAUGAUAAUUGAUUGAAAGAUGCUAUUGCAUCACUACCAGAUGGACCUGCGUUGUAUUAGCUAGUAGGUGAGGUAACGGCUCACCUAGGCGACGAUACAUAGCCGACCUGAGAGGGUGAUCGGCCACACUGGGACUGAGACACGGCCCAGACUCCUACGGGAGGCAGCAGUAGGGAAUCUUCGGCAAUGGACGAAAGUCUGACCGAGCAACGCCGCGUGAGUGAAGAAGGUUGUCGGAUCGUAAAGCUCGGUUGUAAGAGAAGAACGGGUGUGAGAGUGGAAAGUUCACACUGUGACGGUAUCUUACCAGAAAGGGACGGCUAACUACGUG
rnacentral:rRNA from 1 species